CUUUAGUGUUUAGUCAACUUGUAAAUCAGUUAAGCAAUAGUGCUUUUGGGAAAUGACCUCAGUGAUAAGAAAACUUGGGGCAUGCAUUUUUCAUCAUUAUCUCUAAAACAUGAGUGCUUAACCAUAUUCUAGACAUUGGGAUUUCAAACACGUGAGUCAGUUUUUUCCCAGUAUUUGAACUUUUCCAUAAGGAAUAUGGCAGUGCUCUGGUAUAUUUAGUACCCAGUACUUCAGACAGAGUAAAAAAUAUUACCCAAGUGCCCACGGUGAUACAUUUUAAAAUCAUACUAAUUUGCUACCAGGAAAAAGAAAAUGGUUGGAUUUUUUUUAAAUGUAGAAUAUCAAGAAACGACUCUGUGGGAACUUAAAUUCUCUCAUUCCUGUCAUGACUUUUCACAAGUCUGCCUUACUGGAGAACUUUUCAUGGCUGUUUUCUCUACCCUUAGUUAACUUCGAAUCCCUACAACUGCAUCAUCUCCUUUCUUCAUUCUCACAAUUCUUACUUUCUAUAUUUGGAAAUAAAAAAAAAUGGCCACAGAAUCUUCAAAAUAUUUUAGAGCAAUCACCAUAGGUUAAUUUUCUACAAAUGACAUAUUCAAGAACAUUUCCUUCAGUAAGAUGAAAGUUGAAUAAAUCCCCUGAUCCCUCAUCAAACUCUGUAAGUCAGUCUAUGUUGAUGAAUAUUCUGUUACAAACUAUUGUGUCUGUUUCCUAGAUUUAGCAUGGAGUCUGAAAUGGGGAAAAUGAGAAUUGCUCUCAAAUCCAGCUGCAAUCAAUCAUCUUGGAAAAUACUCUCGUCCCUAGGCGACAGUGGUAAGGGUCUCCGCGGCAGAGCCCUUGCCCAGACCAGCAGCAGUGCAGACGCAGACCGUGGUGAAUUUGGUGAAUUGUGCUGUGUGACAGUGAUAUGGGGCUUGGAGCUGUGUGGUGUCUUCUGCAGGUAUGACUCCUGGUGAUACAGUCUUCAGGGCCUGCUGUGGGCCUUCCCAGAGGUUAUGUGGCCUAUCUGUAAUUACUUCCGAGAUUACUUUUCUGUGUUGCUGGCAACAAAGAACAAUGGCAGAUACAUCCACCUGGCCCACUCCAUUCACUGGCAGCAACCGAUAAUCCAAUGUAUCAAUACGAAUUUAAAAAUUGACUAGGAGGCAUAGGGAAUGGAGAAGGAUCCGAUUUUAAUGGUUGCUUGCAACACAAAGAAAUGAAUAAGAUCCCAGAUUUCUUAAUCAAAUACUUUAUUUGUG
rnacentral:lncRNA from 1 species